rnacentral:rRNA from 1 species
CUAUGCGCCUUGCCAGCCCGCUCAGGUGUGCCAGCAGCCGCGGUAAUACGUAGGGGCGAGCGUUAUCCGGAUUUACUGGGUGUAAAGGGAGCGUAGACGGUUAUGCAAGUCUGGAGUGAAAGCCCGGGGCUCAACCCCGGGGCUGCAUUGGAAACUGGCAGGCUGGAGUGUCGGAGAGGCAGGCGGAAUUCCUAGUGUAGCGGUGAAAUGCGUAGAUAUUAGGAGGAACACCAGUGGCGAAGGCGGUCUGCUGGACAGCAACUGACGCUGAGGCGCGAAAGCGUGGGGAGCAAACAGG